rnacentral:rRNA from 1 species
UCCUGACUGACCGAUAGUGAACCAGUACCGUGAGGGAAAGGCGAAAAGAACCCCGGCGAGGGGAGUGAAAAAGAACCUGAAACCGUGUACGUACAAGCAGUGGGAGCACGCUUAGGCGUGUGACUGCGUACCUUUUGUAUAAUGGGUCAGCGACUUAUAUUCUGUAGCAAGGUUAACCGAAUAGGGGAGCCGAAGGGAAACCGAGUCUUAACUGGGCGUUAAGUUGCAGGGUAUAGACCCGAAACCCGGUGAUCUAGCCAUGGGCAGGUUGAAGGUUGGGUAACACUAACUGGAGGACCGAACCGACUAAUGUUGAAAAAUUAGCGGAUGACUUGUGGCUGGGGGUGAAAGGCCAAUCAAACCGGGAGAUAGCUGGUUCUCCCCGAAAGCUAUUUAGGUAGCGCCUCGUGAAUUCAUCUCCGGGGGUAGAGCACUGUUUCGGCAAGGGGGUCAUCCCGACUUACCAACCCGAUGCAAACUGCGAAUACCGGAGAAUGUUAUCACGGGAGACACACGGCGGGUGCUAACGUCCGUCGUGAAGAGGGAAACAACCCAGACCGCCAGCUAAGGUCCCAAAGUCAUGGUUAAGUGGGAAACGAUGUGGGAAGGCCCAGACAGCCAGGAUGUUGGCUUAGAAGCAGCCAUCAUUUAAAGAAAGCGUAAUAGCUCACUGGUCGAGUCGGCCUGCGCGGAAGAUGUAACGGGGCUAAACCAUGCACCGAAGCUGCGGCAGCGAUGCUUAUGCGUUGUUGGGUAGGGGAGCGUUCUGUAAGCCUGCGAAGGUGUGCUGUGAGGCAUGCUGGAGGUAUCAGAAGUGCGAAUGCUGACAUAAGUAACGAUAAAGCGGGUGAAAAGCCCGCUCGCCGGAAGACCAAGGGUUCCUGUCCAACGUUAAUCGGGGCAGGGUGAGUCGACCCCUAAGGCGAGGCCGAAAGGCGUAGUCGAUGGGAAACAGGUUAAUAUUCCUGUACUUGGUGUUACUGCGAAGGGGGGACGGAGAAGGCUAUGUUGGCCGGGCGACGGUUGUCCCGGUUUAAGCGUGUAGGCUGGUUUUCCAGGCAAAUCCGGAAAAUCAAGGCUGAGGCGUGAUGACGAGGCACUACGGUGCUGAAGCAACAAAUGCCCUGCUUCCAGGAAAAGCCUCUAAGCAUCAGGUAACAUCAAAUCGUACCCCAAACCGACACAGGUGGUCAGGUAGAGAAUACCAAGGCGCUUGAGAGAACUCGGGUGAAGGAACUAGGCAAAAUGGUGCCGUAACUUCGGGAGAAGGCACGCUGAUAUGUAGGUGAAGUCCCUUGCGGAUGGAGCUGAAAUCAGUCGAAGAUACCAGCUGGCUGCAACUGUUUAUUAAAAACACAGCACUGUGCAAACACGAAAGUGGACGUAUACGGUGUGACGCCUGCCCGGUGCCGGAAGGUUAAUUGAUGGGGUCAGCGCAAGCGAAGCUCUUGAUCGAAGCCCCGGUAAACGGCGGCCGUAACUAUAACGGUCCUAAGGUAGCGAAAUUCCUUGUCGGGUAAGUUCCGACCUGCACGAAUGGCGUAAUGAUGGCCAGGCUGUCUCCACCCGAGACUCAGUGAAAUUGAACUCGCUGUGAAGAUGCAGUGUACCCGCGGCAAGACGGAAAGACCCCGUGAACCUUUACUAUAGCUUGACACUGAACAUUGAGCCUUGAUGUGUAGGAUAGGUGGGAGGCUUUGAAGUGUGGACGCCAGUCUGCAUGGAGCCGGCCUUGAAAUACCACCCUUUAAUGUUUGAUGUUCUAACGUGGACCCGUGAUCCGGGUUGCGGACAGUGUCUGGUGGGUAGUUUGACUGGGGCGGUCUCCUCCUAAAGAGUAACGGAGGAGCACGAAGGUUGGCUAAUCCUGGUCGGACAUCAGGAGGUUAGUGCAAUGGCAUAAGCCAGCUUGACUGCGAGCGUGACGGCGCGAGCAGGUGCGAAAGCAGGUCAUAGUGAUCCGGUGGUUCUGAAUGGAAGGGCCAUCGCUCAACGGAUAAAAGGUACUCCGGGGAUAACAGGCUGAUACCGCCCAAGAGUUCAUAUCGACGGCGGUGUUUGGCACCUCGAUGUCGGCUCAUCACAUCCUGGGGCUGAAGUAGGUCCCAAGGGUAUGGCUGUUCGCCAUUUAAAGUGGUACGCGAGCUGGGUUUAGAACGUCGUGAGACAGUUCGGUCC